rnacentral:rRNA from 1 species
GACAGAGGAUGCAAGCGUUAUCCGGAAUGAUUGGGCGUAAAGCGUCUGUAGGUGGCUUUUCAAGUCCGCCGUCAAAUCCCAGGGCUCAACCCUGGACAGGCGGUGGAAACUACCAAGCUGGAGUACGGUAGGGGCAGAGGGAAUUUCCGGUGGAGCGGUGAAAUGCGUAGAGAUCGGGAGGAACACCGGUGGCGCAGGCGGCCAGCUGGCCCUGACCUGACGCUGAGGCGCGACGGCGUGGGGAGCGAACGGG